GCCUGUCAGUGAAGCAGGAUCUGCGUGCUCUAGCAGUUGGCUGGGAAUUCUGAUCUCCUUUGUCAAAUGCUUUGAGCUCUACUGAUGAAAAAAGCUAGGGAGUAAUGUUAUAAAUCAACCUGGAAUGUCAUAGUUACCCCCAUUGCACAGGUGGGGAAACUGGGGCACAAAGAGGUGAAGGGGCUUGCCCAAGUUCAUCUAGCAGGCCAGUGGCAGAGUAAGAGUAGAACUCAGCUCUCCAGAGUUCCCGUCUAGUACUCUGUUCUCUAGGUAACAGCACCAUAAUUAUAAAAGGCAGCACUUGUAAAGCUGGCAAUUUAUAGUACAGAAAAGACAAAUCUGAGUGGAGUGAUGGGAGGAUUAGAGUGACUUUGCAACAUGCAGUCACUGUAGUUCUUACUGGUCUGCUUCUAAAACAAGUUGUGCAGAUUAAAGAUAUAUAACUAGGUCAACUAAAUAUUACAUAACAGGAUUGAAAUUGUAUUUAAAUACAGUAUUACAUUUACAAAAUGAUUUUCACUGGCAGAUGGGUGAAAGCAGCUGAGCCAGAUAUGUUACAGAGCAUCUGACUUCUGCAGGAGCUUGGAGAUUUUAAAUGCAAAAAUACUAAGGCCUUGUCUACAAUAAAGGUUUUCAGGAAUCUCCCACUUUGGCUCCAGCAGUAUUACUGGUAUAGCUAUGCCAGUUCCAAGGCAAACAAGCUGUCAGCAGUUUCACCAUCACAUCCUCCAAAGCAGCAGUGAGCUGGAGUAGAAGAUUUAGUACUGAAAAGGUGCAUGCUGUGAUCCUGCUCCUGACGCAGCUCUUCUGCCAUGCGGGAAGCCUAAGAGGAGGCACAGUACAUUCUCAUCAAGCACAACAGACUUUUAAUGCCAGCAGCGGAGCAAACAGUACAACAACCCUGU